GAGUGUUGUAGAAAACCAAGGAAUAGAACUCCAAGCAAAGCGGAGAUCAAAUCGACAUAUUAAUAUCAAAUUUCAAUUUCUCGAUUUGAUCUAAAAGAGGCUUUUUGUAGAAAAUAGGUUUUUGAUGAAAUCCGAGCCUCUAGGGUUUCUCAAAUAUGUAUUUUCGUGAUGCUUAAUAUGUUAGAGAACCCCUAUAGCUUAUUUAUAGACUUUAGAAUCAAUUGGAGUCGAAUUAGAAAGUUUCUUUCCAAAAACAGCACCUUGUACCGGAACAAGGAAUGUUGUCCAGGGUACACCAUGACGGAAGAUUUUUCUGCGAAGCUGCUGUACCCUGGACAGGCUGUUACUUGUUCCGGAACAGGCCUUGUACCGGUACAGCAUGAAGCUUGUACCGGAACAACCAUCAAGCUUCCUGCGCAAAUGUUGAUGGCUGUACCCUGGACAGAAAUACCUUGUACCGGUACAGCAAUGCAAUUUUCGCUGAAAAAGCAUUGUUUUGGAUUUUACAAACUCUUAGAAACUUUCUAAUCAAACACAACUUGAAAACAUGAUUCUAAGAUCUAUAAUUAAGUAUGAAUCACCAUAAACAAGAUUUAAACUUACCUACGCAUCGUGAUUCAAGUUUUGCGUGUUUUCCGAUUCUUUGAAAUCUUGGAUUCUUCGAUCUUCAAUAUUCCGCUCCGAACUUCUUCAAGACUCCGACUCGACCCACGAAACUUGCCAACACAUAGGACCUAACACUAAAGUGAACCAAAACAGCGAUUUAUGUUGCUAUUUGAUACGAGAUGUGAUUUGAGCCGAAAUCGGACAUUUCGGCCGUAGAUCUAAUCCGAUCUUAACGUUUGUUUUUCAGCAGCAUUGGGGCUUCGUUGAGCCGUUUGUGGGACUUCGUGUGGAUAGUUGGAGCCUAGUACUAGGUGGGUUGGACCUAACCAGAGCAAGUGAAACUCC
rnacentral:lncRNA from 1 species